CAGGCAGUUGCUGCGGAUGUUCAUCCGUAGAGGAAAGUCCAUGCUCACACUGUCUGUGAUGACAGUAACGUUUGUGUCGGUAUAAUAAAUAAAGCCGAGCGUAGACGGCGGCAUCAACUCCUAAAGGAAACCAUGGACGAGAUGCCCUAAGGUGCCACAGUGACGUAGCCUGCAGGGAAACCUGCAGGGUGGAACGAGGUAAACCCCGCAAGUGAGAAACCCAAAUUUGGUAGGGGAAUCCGAAGUCUCAAAAUAAGAAGAGAUCAGGGACGGCUUAGCCGUAGAUAAAUAGCUGCCCGUGACAGAACAUGGCUUACAG
rnacentral:RNase_P_RNA from 1 species